UGGUCGAUUUGAUGUUUAGGAAUGGUAUA
rnacentral:piRNA from 1 species